rnacentral:rRNA from 1 species
CCUACGGGAGACAGCAGUGGGGGAUAUUGCACAAUGGGGGAAACCCUGAUGCAGCGACGCCGCGUGAGUGAUGAAGUAUUUCGGUAUGUAAAGCUCUAUCAGCAGGGAAGAAAAUGACAGUACCUGACCAAGAAGCCCCGGCCAACUACGUGCCAGCAGCCGCGGUAAUACGUAGGGGGCAAGCGUUAUCCGGAUUUACUGGGUGUAAAGGGGGCGUAGACGGUUAUGUAAGUCUGGCGUGAAAGCCCGGGGCCCAACCCCGGGACUGCUUUGGAAACUGUGUAACUGGAGUACAGGAGGGGCAGGCGGAAUUCCUGGUGUAGCGGUGAAAUGCGUAGAUAUCAGGAGGAACACCGGCGGCGAAGGCAGCCUGCUGGACUGAAACUGACGUUGAGGCUCGAAAGCGUGGGGAGCAAACAGGAUUAGAUACCCCUGUAGUC